UACGGGGGGAGCAAGCGUUGUUCCGAUUUACUGGGCGUAAAGGGCGCGUAGGCGGCCAGCACAAGUCAGUUGUGAAAUCUCCGAGCUUAACUCGGAAAGGUCAACUGAUACUGUGCGGCUAGAGUGCGGAAGGGGCAACUGGAAUUCUUGGUGUAGCGGUGAAAUGCGUAGAUAUCAAGAGGAACACCUGCGGCGAAGGCGGGUUGCUGGGCCGACACUGACGCUGAGGCGCGAAAGCCAGGGGAGCGAACGGG
rnacentral:rRNA from 1 species